rnacentral:lncRNA from 1 species
CUUGGUGACAUCCCCCCCAUCUCACCCCAUAAAGCUUAAUGAGCAUUUUCUCAUCAAUGAUGGGAGCUGAGAAAUCUCACAUUUCUAAACGACUCUUUAAACCCAGUUGUUCUCCCACUCUGCAGCUGAGCAGCUUUGAAAAUACAAUGUGCAAAGCUACAGAUCAACAGUACUUAGAUGUCCGGAGUUGAUGUGGUUUCAGGCUGCUUGAAUUAACUCUCUCUGACAAGCCCUCCCUUGCAAACCGCUAACAGCAAAGUGCCGCUUUGUCUGCAGUUAGAAACCAGGCUCCGGUUCCUGGGAGUCUUCACGUUGUCUCUAAUAUAUUGGUGCUGGGACAAACUCGAAUCAACCCCCAUGAAAGCCUGCCUGCCCAAAGGGGAUCAACCCGAUUGCCAGUGUUUUAUUCAGCUUUGACAGUUCUCAGUGUGAUCCUAACAGCCUUUGGUAAAACAGGAAGACAGGGGAAAAGCUCCAGAGAUUCCUCCUAUUCAUUUCUGUAAUAGUUUUCUUGCCACAGGAGGCUUAAGAAGAUUUGUACAGCCUGCUCUCUUUUCAUUAACAGCAAGUGCAAUGCUGUUGGCACAAUGCAGCUCCUGUCUGUGGACAGAGCCAGAAGUUUCUGACGGCGUGUGGGGACAUUCUGAGUCAAAGCCUGCUGGUAUUCUCGACUCCGGACUUAGCAAAGUCAAGACGACCCUAUUAACAGCUUUCGUCCCUGUGGUCAAACCUUCCAAAACUUUUUCCCAAUCGUGGAUUCCCACCCAUAAUUUCAUCAUGCCCUGUGUUAGUAAGACACUAGCCAAUGUCCAUAAAACUAUGCCAGUGACAAGAAAAUGCAGGAAACCAGAAGACCUAAUUUUAACUAGAUGCAGAAUCCUGUCAUAGAGGAGAGAAUUUUAUCAGUGAGCUCCCUGUUACUUCUGAAAACAAUGCUGAUAUUCCUCAUAUGUUCAGAAGAGUUCUUCAAUGUGUUCCAAGACUGUCUGAGAUUUUCAGGGGAAGUUACUAAAUGGACCAGUUUCUGCUUUCGUGAUGGAAGGCUGAUACGGGAGCCGUGACCCAUGAUGCCAGUGGGCUAUCAGAUUGUCUUGACUUUGUGCUUCCCCAUCCUUGGGGCAAGCUGCCCUCCUCAGACAUUUGAUCCAACGAUGAAGAGCUAUAAAUACUUUAUCUCCAGGCAUCAACUAAACAGUCUCAGCAACAAAGCAACGUGGAGUGUGGUAAAAAAGUCACAAACCAAGUCAAUCGUUUGUAUAGUAAGGGCCUCAACUAAAUGCCCGAACUAGAAACUUCUGCUUACACUUAACUGAUUGUCACCAUGUCACACAGGCAGCCCUAACUUCAAGGUGGGCUGGGAAACAUCUGAUACCCCAACCUCACCGUGUUUCCAUUUGCAAAGGGAGCUGGAGGGCUAGAGCUUGGAAAGUUAGUACAAACAUGUGCCCCUGUGUUUGAUAUGACUACUUAAAUUUUCUUCAUAUGAGGACCUCAGGAGAUGUGUGACUGUCUUUCCUUAUUAUUACAGGUGUGUGUGUGUGUGUGUGUGUGUGUGUGUCUUUGACAUAUAAGAAAAAGUAUGAAACGCGUAUACAACAACCCAUAUAAGAAAAAGUAGGAAACACACAUAUACAACAAACCCAUAUAUGCAGCGACAAAAAGGAAGCUGCUACUGCUGUGCCUUCUGCAGAGAGAUGUUUGAUUGCCAGAUCCCUUUUGUCCUUUUCUUCCUAAUCCAACUUCUGUCAUCCUCUCUCAUGAUCACUUCAUUGUAAUAUCAGGGAGAGAACGUAAAACUAAAAUCAAUACUGAGCUACUCUCUUCUGAAACACAUUUGGCUAUACAUGAGGUUAGAUUUAAUGUAAAAAUAGGAUUUGAACAUUUGGCACAUUACAAAUGUCGAGGAAAUAAUUUUCUUCCGUAAGUUUAGCUUAUAUCCUAAAAAUAGGGUAAGAAACAAGAUAUUGUGGCCACCUUGUGCUUAUUUUGACUUUGUCUACCGCAAGGAGCAGGGCUUCCCAGGGGCACAGUGGAGAAGAAUCCUUCUGCUAACGCAGGAGACCAAAGAGAUGGGGGUUCCAUCCCUGGGUCGGGAGGGUCCCCUGGAGGAGGAAAUGGCAACCCACCCCAGGAUUCUCGCCUGGAGAACCCCACGGACAGAGGAGCCUGGUGGGCUACAGUCCAUGGGGUCACCAGGAGUCGGACACGACUGAGCAGGCAUGCAUAUGCAUGCCUCAAGGAGCAGGUCUGUCUCCACGUGUUAUCAAGGAAACGCAUUGACUUUGGAAUCCAGGGACUGACAUUUCCCCUUGGUCUGUACUCUUACUUUAUCUUAAUAAAAUAAUUAUGGGAAAUUCA